GCAUUUUCCCAACAACUCUCUGUCCCACCUUGGACUGGGCAUCACCCUUGUUAUUGAUCUUUGUAGCCAAGGAUAUUUGUUUUAAAACAAAUGACACACUCUCCUCAUUUUUUAUUUUAAAAGCCCUGUCUUCCUUUACCUCCCUGAAUAUGCACUUUUACUAUGACAUGCAAAUUCCCUUGCAAUGUUCUAUCCCCAAACAUACUUCUUUUCUUUUAGAGAGCCUCUCUGUCUGUUUAGAUUAACAGGUGAAAGGAAGAAUGUGGCAAACUUUGUGGCUGUGUUAUUUUAAGAAAUUGCCGUAGCCACCGUAAUCAACCCCCACCCUCAUCGGUCAGCAGCCAUCAGCAGCAAGGCAAGAUCCUCUACUAUCAUCAAGAUUACAACUCACUGAAAGCCCGGAUGACUGAACAGAAAAGGAACAGAAAACCAGCCUGUGCGGAAAUUCAUCCAUCUGCAGACGUUGUUAAGGGAACUGCUGCUGAAAUGACGUUUGCGGGUUCCUCCCUUUCCUCUUUGUCGACACCCCACCCACCUCUUAAGAAAAAAGAAAGAAAGAAAGAAAAAGCUUUGAUUCUUAGUCCAAGGUACGUUUCUUCUUUUUUUUUUUUUUUUUUUUUUUUUGAGACAGAGUUUCGCUCUUGUUACCCAGGCUGGAGUGCAAUGGCGCGAUCUCGGGUCACGGCAACCUCCGCCUCCUGGGUUCAGGCAAUUCUCCUGCCUCAGCCUCCCGACUAGCUGGGACUACAGGCACGCACCACCAUGCCCAGCUAAUUUUUUGUAUUUUUAGUAGAGACGGGGUUUCACCAUGUUGACCAGAAUGGUCUAGAUCUCUUGACCUCGUGAUCCACCUGCCUCGGCCUCCCAAAGUGAUGGGAUUACAGGCGUGAGCCACCGCGCCGGUAAGUUUCAACUAGCUUGGCCCUGCAAACCUCUUCUUCAUUUCCAGAGAUGAAACUUAAUGGAGUGAAAUUAGAAGGAAACUUGGUGCUGGUUUUCUCCCUUACAGGCUGUCACUUAGAAUGAAUUAACUGCCCUGUAAGCGGGUUACCUGAUCCAUUACAUGAAAUAAUCCUACUUCCCCUGCCAUACUUCACAGGGUUGUUGAACAAAAUAAUAUAUUGAACCCAGGUUUUUUUUGUUUUUGUUUUUGUUUUUAAAGAAAUGGGGUCUGGCUUUGUUGGCCAGGCUGGUUUUGAACUCCUAGGCUCAAGCAAUCCUCCUCCCUCAGCCUCUGGGUAGCUGGAACUACAGGCUUGAACCCAAAUUCUGUUUAUAAAUUACAAGGUGUAUAUCAUAUGAAAGAAUCUUAUCCUCAGCUCCCACUGACUCCUUCAUGUAUCCUACCUGCCAACCAACUCAAUUCCUAGUGUUUUUGCCAAACGUGGAGGGCGAUUUAUUUUUUUCCUGUGCAAGUCUUUGUUCAAACUGUUUUCUCUGUCAGAGAUGUUCCUCCUCCAUCUCUGCCUUCAAAAUCCUUUCCAUCCGUCCCAGUCCAGCUGAAAUUCCCUUCCAUCCAAGAAGUUUUCCACAUUCUGAUGCCUCUUUCCAGAAUCAACUGCUCUCCUUCUGGACCCCGCUAGCCUUUCCUUUGUUCCCUGGCAUGGGCACUGGCCCUGUACCCCCUUACAUUUGUGUUUUUGUGUGCCAGCUUAUCCCUGCAAUAGAUUAACCAUGAGUCAUUCACAGGCAGCACCUUUCAACGCUGCAUUCCCAGUGUCUGGCAUUUAGCUUGGGC
rnacentral:lncRNA from 13 species